UACAAGCAAAGAAGUACAAUACAUGGAGUAAGUGAUGAAAUGAGCAUUCCUCACUACUACUGCUUGACUGAUGGAACAUGAUGCACGAGAUAGCAUAAGUAGUAGUAGGAAGCAGCUCUUAUUUGUGGCGUCGGUAUACAUCAUACUAGGUAGAUGGUUCAAUUGGCAUGGAUGGGUGGUGGAGCCUUGAAGUGCUUGUGAUGGGGAGCCCACGGCUUCUUCUCAGGAGUUGGUGGCUUCUUGUAUGGAGUUGAUGGAGGUGUUUCUACUGGAGGGUGGCCAGGGUAGUGACCCUGGGGUGGUGAAGGUUCUUUUGUCGGUGGUGGCCUCACUAUUAUUGGCGGUAGAGUUGGUGGCUUGGGCGUUGGCGGUGGUCUCACUACUCUUGGGGGUAGAGUUGGUGUCUUGUGUUUUGGUGGUGGAGGUGGCUUAACAGGAGUUGGUGGCUUGUAUUCUGGGGGUGGUUUCUCCACCGGAGGUGGCUUAUAAACUGGAGUUGGUGGCUUGUAUUCUGGGGGUGGCUUCUCCACUGGUGGUGGCCUGUAAACAGGGGUUGGUGGCUUAUAUUCUGGGGGAGGCUUCUCCACUGGAGGCGACUUAUAAACAGGGGUUGGUGGCUUGUAUUCCGGGGGUGGCUUCUCUACGGGAGGUGGCCUGUAAACAGGGGUUGGUGGCUUCUCCACCGGAGGUGGCUUAUAAACGGGGGUUGGUGGCUUGUAUUCUGGGGGUGGUUUCCCCAGUGGUGGAGACUUGUAAACAGGAAGAGGUGGUUUGUGCUCAUAUGGGGGUGGCUUGUGGUCAUUAGCAAGUGAGGGAGUGGUGAGGACCACCAAUCCAAGGAACAACACGAGUGAGCAAGCAGAAGACAUGUUUGGGCUCUGGUGAUGCACAAGUAGAAGAAAUGGGAACCAUUUAUAAUGCUUCGAGACCUUGGUUAGCACCAAAAUAUGUCAAAAUCUUGAUUACUUCAUUUCAUACAUAGAUUUAAAAUUAUUUCAAUCAACCAUGAUCCUUAAUUUUCUGGGUGGUCCAUAAAUGUAAUGGGGUCAAUUUGGGACCUAACAAGCUGAGAAGUUUGACAAUGCUGCAAGGCUUCAUCCGAAAGUCCGGGGAAGAAUAUUAGGAGUUACACUCCGUUUCCUUUUUUGGGUGCAUUUUUCUCCUUUAACAUUCUAUUCCCUUUUACAUUAGCAUUUGAUCUUAGCUCAUUUCAAGUACAAGUUUCUUGAACCCUAUACCAUUGUCAAAGUUGAGUAACCAUCUCUACUUUGCUCAAGAAACAUAAAAGACAAUGACAAUAAAGAAAAAGGAGAGAGACCAUACGUGACUUGGUUUAUAGGUGGCUUUGUGUUGACAUUUGAGUAUGGAAGCCGACAUGCAUCUUAGCUUCGAUUUUAAUUAAAUUUGUACAUUAGUGUCUGUGUCAUUCAUUUUGGUAUAAAAGGUCUCUUGAUUUCGUAAGUUUGGUAAGAACCGUUGAAAAUAGCAGUAGCAGCACAUGGUCCACUUUCUUUCACAAAAUAAUUUUAAAAGUUUAGAAGCAUAGGAGGUAACAUUAGUGGCCUUGUGGCUCAGCCACGAGUACUAUGUGGUGCUCGAGAAAUUGAGUUUAAUUUCCUUCCGAUAGUUCAUGAUAAGGUCCGUCACUGUCCUGAGACAGAUUGCGUUUUUUCUUUUUUCCUUUUUUAGUGUUUUAUUGACUAGCUAGGUGUGACUUUUCCUACUUUAAGGCACGAGGCAGAAAAGAAACUGGGAUUUAGUGCUUAAGAAGGCAAAUUUAAUUCGAUUUGGAUCUAAAAUUUGCCAGCAACAUGAGAUUUUCCAGCCUAUCGUUGCUCCACAUAUAGACAAGGCACUUGUAGAAGUGGCUUGUUUGUAGCCAUUCCCGAUAUUUGGACUCACUUGAUUCACCGGACACUUUGAUAAAAUUUAAUAUUUAUUAUUUAAUAAUUUAAAUUGAUUUAAAAUUAAAUUAUACCGAAGUUGUGAUUUAAAAAUUAUUAUUUAAUUCUUACUUUUAAAUAUGAAGAUUAUUUGAUAAAAAUAAUUUAAAAUUUAUUAUAAAUUAUCAAAUUAACAUAUUUAUCCUUAUAAAUUAUAAUUAAAACAGAAAAGGUCAAAUGAUUUGAGUAUCCAUAGAUGUGGUAAAAUAAUAAAAAAGAUUAUAAAAACAAUUAUGAUAAAUAAAGAUAAAAAGUAAAAUGAAUAUGUGAAUUUAAAGAAUAAAUUAAUUAUUUUUAUUUAUUACUUAAAAUUAUUUUUGACUUUAAAUUAUAUUAUUAAAUUAUUUUACCAAACAUACUUAAUUUAGUUAAUAAUUUAAAUUUAAUUUAAGUUAUUAAAUUGAUUCACCAAAUACCCACUUAAUCAAAGACUGAAGUAUACAUUAUUUGGCCAAAUGCAGCUAUUGAAAUUUAACUUUUUCCAAACUUAUUCAUUUUGUGGAAAUAUUUUUAGAAAUGAUUUUAAAAAUGCACUAUUCUGUGUGUUGAUUUUAUAUUUUGGCAUUAAUCCAACAUAGAAAACGGUUCUUAUUUUCGCUGUUAAAUAGGUACCAGAUCCUUAAUUAGUGCCGUGAAUCCGGCAGCUUCCAAUGAGUAAUUUGGACUUGGGUAUUGACAAUGUGUGGCCAUGCUUCUACUAUUUUAUUAUUCUUGAAACAUAUAUGAUAUAUUGGACUUUAUACAGGGAAAAAAAAAAAAAAAAGUCUUCACCAAAAAUGAUUCCUCCUAAAAAAUAGACUCCACAAACUAGGUUUAACAGGAAAAUGAUUCUAAUCUAGUAGUUUCCAGCCACAUGAGCAUUUACGUAACAAUAGUAUAGUUGAUAACGACUUUUAUUUUAUUUAUUUUUAAAUAGUUAAAGGGAUAAUUUUUGAGCUUAAAUUUUAUUUUUUUAUUUAGAAACAUUUUACUUUAUUUUUUAAUCAUAAUUCUAUUAUAUUAAUGUUUUAUUUUCUAUUUUUUAAUAUAUAAGGAGAUACUAAAUUUAUGUGAUUAUUUUUUAAAAAUUUAGUAUAUGAAAUUAAAUAAUUGGAUAUAUAUACAUAUAUCAUAUAAUGUUUUUUAAGUGUGAUUUUUGAACUUUUUAGUCAUUUUAUAAGUUUAAGCUUUUGAUUUUUUUUUUUAAACUUUGGUAUUUUUUAUUUUAUAUAAAACUAUUUUGAUUUAAUUUUAUUAAAAAAUAUUGGUAUUAUAAAUUAUUGUAUUAAUUAUUUUUUUAUAUUAUAAUGUAACUGGUAUAUACUAAAAAAUGUAUGCAAGUUCAAUUUAAGUUUCAAAUUAAAAAAUUUCAUUUAAAUAUUUAAUAACUUGUUCAUAAUAAAAAAUUAAACAACAUAAUACAAAUGAAAAGAAACAUAAAAGAAAAAGGAAAAAAUGGUCCUCUCUGUGUGUCACAUUACUAGGUCAUCCUCUUUUUCUAUGACCCUUACAAUAGAAUGGCAUAUUUGUCAAAUCUACUUAUGAAAGUUGGAAUGUUUCUACAUGUGUAGGGUCCAUUGGAACUAAUGGAGGAAAGGCUUAACGUCUAUGUAAAUCACAACGUUGCCUAGGUGGGCAUAGAUCUAGUUGUGUAACAUGAGAUGGUGUGAGAGUACAAUAUAUGCAUUGUAGUCUCUAUGGGAAGAGAGAUAGGUAAUGGUAGGGUGGUAGACGGUAGGGUGAUCUCUAAUAUAAUGACAUUUGAUGUGGUGGCUUCUAAGAGAGGAGAUAUAAGAGAUGGUAGAAUGACAUUUGGUGUAAUGGUCUCUAGUGCAAUGACAUGUGAUAUGGUGACCUAUAAAGAAGAGAUAUAGGUGAUGGUGAAGUGGUAUGUGGUGUAGUGACCUUUGAGAUAGAAAAUAGAGGUAAUGGUAGGUUGGCAGGUGGAGUGGUCUUUGGUGUAGUGACAUCAAUUAUAAAUGUCUCCAAGGGAGGAAAUAAAGGUGAUGGUAGGUAGUAAAUGUUGAGGUGGUCUUUGAUAUGUUAUGCUCUAAGAGAGAAGGUAUAGGUAAUGAUAAUAGGGAAUUUGACAUAGUGGUGUUGGAAAUAAAAAGUGAAAGUGACCGUAGAGGUGAAAGGGCAAGUGUAAAAGCCUCAAGUACGAAUGGAGUAAUUAAUGUGGAUGGUGCUAACAUAGUCUUAGGUGGAUACACAAAUAGUCAUAGUCAUCAACUAGCUUGCCCACCAUCUGUCUUUCUGCUAGUGAUAGGUUACAUCUUAAUAGUAAUGGCCAACAUAAGUGGUGUGGAUCCGAUUUUUUUACGUGUGUCCCCACUCAAUCGACAAGACUUAUUUUUUAUUAGUGAAAAAUUAAUUUUGGAAAAGUUGGAGUCACCACUUAUUUUAUUUUAUUUUAAAAAGGAAAGUAAAACAAGAAAGAGAACUCUAAAGAAGUGACUUCAUAGUUUUGGAAAAGUUAGUCUUAAAAAAUCCAAGUCUUGGUCCGGAGAUCAGGUUACUUAUUGGGAAGAUACCUCUAAGAGGUAAUACCCCUCUAAACCCUAAAGAAGUCUCUAAUGACUAAGUUGAGGAGAAUGUGGUAAUUAAUUAAUUGAUUGAGGGUACCUAGGUAGACUAAGGUGAUUUCAGAAUUAACAUACCAAGCUAGAAAGUCCAAUCAUGAUCAUAAAAGAGAGUCAAAGUAUGUACCUGAACUGCUUCUCAAACGCUAUCAUAAAACAUCAAAGUUAGUAUAGAAAUAUAACACAUAAUAUUUGUUUUAUCCAAGCAAAUAAAGCAUACAUCUAAGCACCCAAGAAUCACAUCAAGUAUGGAUAUAGUCAUCAAUAGCAUACGUGUCCAUAGAACUAUCGAAAGUAAAUGUGGAGGAGCGUAUCUGGACAACAUAGAUAACUUAUAAUGUGCUUCCACAAGACAUGGGGGUUAGAUAAAAGUUAUAAUAAUAAUUAGUAAAUGAAAGAAUUCUAGCAUGUUUGGUAUCUAAAUAACAUAGCAAAAAUGAACAAGAGUACACGAAAACAUCAAUUAUCACACGAGUCAUAUUGGCUAGUAUUUAAUCAAUAAACCAACAAUAAAUGACUAUAAACAUAUAAAAUGACAUAUUCAAAGAGACCCAAACAUAAAGAGCCUAGAACACAAGCUUACACUAAAUUUAGAAAACUAAAACAUGGAAUUUUAAAAGCAUAAAUUAGCAAACAAAUUGAUGGAAACUAAAUUUAGAUAACUUAAGAAUAUUUUUCUUAUCCUUCAAUUUAAAUCAGUAAGCCAACAAUAAAAAAUUAUAGAAACAUGGAAUAUCAAGAUCAAUGGGAUACCUAAACUAUAAUUUUUAAAAGAAAAUAAACUAAGCAUAAUAUCUACAAAGCAACUAAACUAACAUUUUUUUAAAAAUAAAUUAAACAUGACAUUAAUGGAGUAACCAAACUAAAUUAAAGUAAACUAAAAACAUUUAUGAAUUUUCAAACAUGGAAUCAGCUUUCUUAGUAAAUUAAAAUUAUUAAAAUAAAAUCUAAGCUUAAAAAUGAAUUAAAUACUAACUAAAGCAAAUCUAAAACCAAAUAUUUAACACAUAGGAUCAAUUAUAUUAACAAACUAAAAUUUUAUAAGAACACUUAAACCUAAAGUUGAAUUAAAAACUAACCAAUUUUUAAAACUAGAUCUUUAACCCAUAGGAUCAAUUAUAUUAACAAAUAAAUAAUAAAUAAUAAAUAAAUAAAACUCAAACCUAAAGAUGAACUAGAAAUGUACCAAAGUAAAUUCAAAACAAGAUCUUUAACACAUUAGAUCAAUUAUAUUGACUAACUAAAAAAAAAAAAAAAAAACACUCAAACCUGAAACGAUGUAUUAGAAACUAACCAAAGCAAAUUUAAAAUAGAGUCUUUAACACAUAGGAUCAAUUAUAAUCACUAACUUAAAUUACAAUUUUUGAAACAUGAACUAAUUAGUGUUGGAUUAAUUAAACUAAUUAACUAAAAAAAACUAUAAACUAGAAUACGGUGAAUCAAGAAUUCAAAUCAACAAACAUAAAAUAUGGGUACAAUGAAAUGAAAAUCUAUUAAACUAAUAAGACGGAAAUAUGACAAACUCAUGAACCCACAUUUUGAUCAACUAGGAAAUAGAAAUUAAUAGACCUGUAGCAUGGAUACAAUGAAAUGAGAUCAGUUAAAUUUAUUUGCCGAAAUUCUAAAAAACACAUACACUCAAAUAAGAUCUAAAUCUAAGACCAAGCAAAACUCAAACUUUCUCAAUCUAAUGCAAUGAAUCAAAACUAAAAUUAAAUAGAAAUCAAACCAUUUUUUUUUUAUCUAAUAUAAUAAAUCAAAGCUAAAACUAAACAAAAUCGAAUUUUCUUAAUUUAAUAUGAUGAGUCAAAGCUAAAAUUGAACAAAGUUCAAACCUUUAUAUAAUGGAUCAAAGUUAAAUCUAAAUGAAAUCCAUACUUCCACAAUUUGAUAUAACAAAUCAAAAAUAAAACUAGAUAAAAAAAAAGUCAAAGCCUUUCAACUUGACAUAGUGAAUCCAAACUGAAACGAAACAAAAUUUUAACUUUUCCAAUGAAACCCAAUAUAGAAAAAAUUAGCUUACCUUCUUUAGAAUAUAUGUAUGGGCCAUAAAGAAGUCACCUUGGUGCAUGUGUUCCUCACUUUGACGCCAAUGGACGACUUUCUAUGGUAGCAAAUGGAGAUCCUUUUUGGUGGUAACUUGCGUGUGGAAACCUAUGGUACAACCAAUGUCAUCUUUUAUUGUGCGUGUGGACCAAUUUCUUCUCGAGAACUCAUGUGUGUUGUGCUCAAAAUAUGUUGCCUGUGAGAAUCUAUUGGUAUACCCCACAUAUGGUUUCCUUGAGAGAAUCUGUGGUUGUGUGUGGGCGUUUUCUUCAUGACAGCAUGUGGAUGUUCCCAUCUAUGGUAGAUUGGUUGUGAUGCUUUAGUGCAUGGUCUCCAUAGGAAUAGUGUGUUAUGGAAAUUUGGUUUUUUUAUUGGUGCAUGUUGUCUAGACUUUCCCAUAUGCGUGGACUGUGUGUUCAUGCUUUUCUUUUCGGAUGGUCGCCUGUGUUAAUGUGUGGCGGUGUCUACAAUGAAAGAUACAACCCUUUCUCUCCUUCUGCGUGAUAGAAAAGUCAAUCCCCCAUGGUGCGACUAUGUUCCCUCGUCCUUUUUGAAAAAUUUUGGUGUUUUCCCCCCAAAAAAUCCCCUCCAAAAAUCUAAUUAUAAAUGUCUGCUUUGGCCUAAUGUGUGUGCUACUUUUUUUUUCCUUCUUUUUAUGGUUGUGCGUGCUUUUCUUGAUACGUGGCUUAUUUCUUAAGGAUAUGAUUCGCUCCCAAUUGGUGUCUCAGCUGAUUCAUGUCCUUUCAAUGGUCCCUGACAGUGGUGCCAUUUGAUUCGUGUCCAGCUGGUGUCCCUUGAUUGUGGUCCUCAGAAGGGAGUAAUCAAUAAAAUUUAUAACCUAUUACACCAUGUAUUAGGAUAGCCUUAGCUAGCAUAGCAUAGUGGCUCUAGGGUCGUUUAUUGGGAUGAGUUUUCACUUCACAAUUGAUAUUAAUUCAAGAGCUGAAUUGGUGCCUUUUCAUUUCAAGGUUAGCUUUAAAAGAAAACAUAAUCUUUGGUGGAAAAAGGUUUGGUUUUAAACUAACCAAAAAUAGUAACUGAUUUUACUUACAAAGAAAAGUGUUCUUUGGAGUUUAGAUCACUAGGCUCAGGUUCCUCAUACAAAAAGGAGAGUUCCGAUCAUUUGUUUCUUUUCCUCGCAUUAGAGAAUUAACAUAUAGUUAAUUCUCUAACCGGUGCGGUACAUAUGCUUCCCAUUAAUGGGUUCAAACACUAAAUACCUCUCACUGAUGCACCUUGCAAUGGCUCGUGCCUCUCACCUAGCAUUUAUCAUUCAAGGUGAUCUUUAACCUUGGAUUACCCAUCAAAAGCUCGCAAGAGAUAACUAAAGGAUGUCUCCUUAGAGUCCAAAAGCUUACCAAGUGUUGGUUAUUCUAGAAAAUCCUACCUUCAAACCACCUCCCAAAGGCUCGCAAGAGAUAAACAAGUGCAUCUCAAUGGAUGAAGAUCACUUGCCUUACCAAGUUUUGGCCCAGAUGAUUUAAUGACAUUUUAAGUUAACUAAAAAGAUAAAAACCAUUAACGGGUCACACUUUCUCUUCAUUAAAAACUAAAACAACAAAACUUCCAAUUUAUGCAUGAGGAAACUUACCUGGCUUUCUUCACUUCAAGAGAUGAAGAGCCUAGCCACUCAUCAUUUGAGGAAAAAUCCUCAGAGUUUGAUUUGCUAGAAAUAAAAAUAAUGAGAAAACAAAAAUAUAUAUAUGAAAAACAGAGCAAGUUCUCUGUAAUAUAUUUUUCUUCCUUAUACAAAAGGUUGUCUCUAAGAACAAGUUCCCGAGAUCUAUCUGAUUGUAAAUAAAAUUACAACUAUAUAUAAGAGGUUAUUCACCCCUUUGUUCUUUCUUAAAGACUAAGGAAUCCUAUGAUAGGUGGGUUACAAGGAGAGUUUGGGGAUUUAGACAUCAAAUAUCUAAAGCAAAAUAUCUCAAGAUGUUAGUCGGAAAUAUCAGGAAGCUUCAGGAGAACACCGCGACACUGUAUACUGAGAGAAAAACUCUCCGGGUAAGCUCUAUCAAAGGAUCCAGACAUGUCUGACUGGGAAAGUUGAAACGUCCUUCUCUCCCAUCCGGAUGUGAGAUAUCCGGAGAAAGUGAAAUGUCGGUCGGACAGAAUUCUUUCCCCGGGUGGAAUGAGUUGUGUUGCGCGUCGCAAGGGGGACCGUCUGCGUGUACAAGUUGUAGGGACCCCUCUCCCGGAUGACACCGAGCGCGUAAGGCUAUCCGGAUCAACUCCAUUCGGAUUCCCCAAGAGGACAUGUGGCGUGCUCCCCUAUCAGGACUCCCUUAGGGAGAAGCACACGACACUCGUGAACAUCAUACCCGGACGAUAGCAUGUCCUAUCCGGAUGUGUUGUCCGGAUCAUUGACUAAAGUGAGCAAGCCUUGCUACGUCAUUCGGACAGCUUGCCACAUACCAUGUUCCGUCGCCAUCUGAUGGUGUGUCCGAACGCCUUGUCCGGACAUCUUUUGCUCCUUGCAUUCCGGAUUUGCUUAUGACAAAGGACUUCAAAGCUUCGGUUCUUCAUGUUUCUGAGCUUUCCAUUGCUUUGCCAUGGAUUCCAAAGAACUCUCCUUAAUCACGGAUUGCUUUGGUGAUCAAAAAGUUAUCAAAACACAAAAACUUAACAUAGUUUGAUUAGAAUUGAUUGCAAGGGUUCUUAAUAUGUUAAUUGGGUUAAAAGGUGAUAACUACUACUCAAAAGUGUUUAUAAGAAUUAAUUACAAGCUAUGAAAUAACACUUUUUGAGUAGUAAUCAGGAUACAUCCUAGUUUUUCAUGGAAUUGAUAGUGGGUUGUUGUGCAUGAAUGCCACCAUUUCAACUAUGCUGUUGUUAUUUUUAAAAAAAAUAUGGAUUAUGCGCGAGUGGCAAUUCUCCACUAUGGAAAGUGGAUUGCUCCUUCAACCCAUGCAUGGCUACGUAUUCCUAUGUCUUUCUACUUGUGUUUGAUCCUCCAAAAAAAAUUUCGGUUUAGUGCUAGUAGAUUUUAAGUGGUGGAUCCCCAUUUUUUGAAAAUGAAGUGGCAGCCUCCCAUUUCAAGACAAAAUGGUAGCCUGCCUUUAAUCUUUGGAGAAAAAUCUGUGCAUGACCUUUUUUUUUCCCAAAAAAUCCGUGCAUGGUGUCCUUUAAUAUUUGGAGAAAAAUCUAUGUUGGAUCUUUUCUUUUCUAGAAACAUUUGUGUGGUCUUUUUUGUUAGCCCAAGGGUUCUUCUAAUCAAGUUUUGAUGAUAACAAACCAUGGUUAAGUGACUAAUUGGUUUAAUGAUUAAGAAUCUCAAACAUAAAAUCGAAAAUUCAUCAAAGGACCAAAUGGAUACAAGAUCGAGACGCUUGGAAGACUUGUAAUCAUAGGAAACUAAUGUAAGAUGAAUGCAUGAGUGCACUUAGGAUUUUCACACGUUUCAUGCAACUUAGAAAACCCAGUUUAUUCUUUAAAACUUCAUCCCAGUUUAUUCUUUUUAUGGUUGUGUGUGCUUUCCUUGAUACGUGGCUUAUUUAUUAAGGAUACAUCCCAGUUUUUCAUGGAAUUGACAGUGGGUUGUUGUGUGUGAAUGCCACCAUUUCAACUGUGCUGUUGUUAUUUAAAAAAAAAAAAAAUGGAUUGUGCGCGAGUGGCAAUUCUCCACUAUGGAAAGUGGAUUGCUCCUUCAACCCAUGCAUGGCUACGUAUUCCUAUGUCUUUCUGCUUGUGUGUGAUCCUCCAAAAAAAAUUUUGGUUUAGUGCUAGUAGAUUUUAAGUGGUGGAUCCCCUUUUUUUGAAAACUAAGUGGCAGCCUCCCAUUUCAAAACGAAGUGGUAGCCUGCCUUUAGUCUUUGGAGAAAAAUCUGUGCAUGACUUUUUUUUUCCCAAAAAAUCCAUGCAUGGUGUCCUUUAAUAUUUGGAGAAAAAUCUAUGUGGGAUCUUUUAUUUUCUAGAAAAAUUUGUGUGGUCUUUUUUGUUAGCCCAAGGGUUCUCCUAAUCAGGUUUUGAUGAUAACAAAUCAUGGUUAAGUGACUAAUUGGUUUAAUGAUUAAGAAUCUCAAACAUAAACUCGAAAAUUCAUCAAAUGACCAAAUGGAUACAAGAUCGAGACGCUUGGAAGACUUGUGAUCAUAGGAAACUAAUGUAAGAUGAAUGCAUGAGUGCACUUAGGAUUUUCACACGUUUCAUGCAAUUUAGAAAACCCAGUUUAUUCUUUAAAACUUCAAUUUCAUUAAAACCCGAGUUUUUAACUAAUGUACCUUAGGCAAAAUGUUUUAUAAUUGGCUUAAUAAUUCACCUAAAUACAUUUUCUAAGUGUUAGAAAAGAAAGGAAUUAAAAAAAGGUUUUCGGGGCAAAAAAGGCUCAACCGGUCGAGGCUAUGGUCAACCGGCUCAACCGGUUGAGGAACCAAUCGAUCGGUUGUGCUUGUCCGAUCGAAGACCAAUCGAGGGAUGCCAAAAAAUUUCUCUCUCUCCUAGUGGCCUUCUCUUCCCGGUCGAGGUUCGGUCUAGGCAACGGUAACAUGUCAAGCAUUAAAUGCUCCGACGACUAGUGAAUCGGUCGACCCCUAGCCCGAUCGGACGAGGUUGCCUUUUGCUGUUUUUGACUCCCGAGCUUAGAAACCUAUAAAUUGAGAGCUCCACUUCAUUUAUUGAUAAAAGAGAACACUUGCAUUCAAUAGUCUACCUACCUUUUCUUGAUCAAAAAGCUCUCAUUUCCUUCAUAGUGCAUUAAAUCAUCACUUGCAUAUCCUUUAGUGCACUAUUGUGUGUCAUCCUAGCUUUGUUUUGUAUUUGAGCUAUCCUUAAGCUAGGUUGAGGGAUUAUUUCUUAUAAAAAUCUGAGUGUUAAAGCCUUCAAGAGAUUUGAAUCUUGAAGAGAUUGUGUAAGAGCCCAUUGGAGCCGGAGUCCAAGUGUAAGAAGAUUGGAAGCUUGGUUGAAGCUUCAAGUUAGUGGAACCCUCACUCGGUUAGGAGGUUGAGGAGAGUGGACGUAGGUAAGGAAGUGUCGAACCAUUAUAAACCCGAGUUUGAAUUCUCUAACUCUAUCUCUUUAUUUUGCUUAUAUUGUGUUUGAAUUUGUUGUGAUUGAAAAGAUUUUAAAAACCUAAUUCACCCUCCCCCCUUUUGGGUUUUUUUUUCUUAAUUAAGCAUAACCUUUGUUUUCUAAUUUUCUUUUUAGGAAAAUCCAUGCGUGGUAUGUCCAAACUCUCCAAGUGGCAGUCUGCCUUCUUCUAAAAAAUUUGUUUCUAUUUCUUUAUUCGACUACCUUCCAUGUCUUCCUAAUGAGUGCUUGUGCUCAAUGGUCAAUCCCUGGUGGUUGCCUCCUUUUCCCAUAUAUACGUGUUGCAAAAUCAACAUCCCACUAUAUGUGGGUUGCCUCUAUGGCAAGUUCACAUUUCCCACAUGAAACCUAUGAGUUUCCACCAAAAAUUGCCAUGAAAAAGUCUUUAUAUGCAUCUCAUGCAAUAAAAAGUCAAGCCAAUACUCAUCUUAUCUCGAAAAAUAAGUAACCAAAAUCAAGAUCAUGCCUAAGUGAACUAUGCCAAAAGAAGUGUCCAAGUGACCUAUUAUGAAAAAAGUGCCUAAGUGACCUAAGGUGAAUGUGUGUAAGCUGGAAGGUGUCUAGGAUGUUUAGGACAAUGCCUAAGCCUAAAAUAGGGUUGCCAAGGGUCACAAUGGGGUUAGAUAAAUCUCUCAAUCAGAGUCUCCAAGGUGGCUCAUAAAAGAUAAGCUACACGAGUAAUGAUGGGCCACCAGGGAAUUAUUGUAAAGCACCAAACGAACACAUAAUAGGACAUGUGUUAGAAUGAAAAAAUGGAGGGUUUACAAGUGGUCUCAUGGAUGAGCUUGAUAAUUUAAAUGACUCACAUAAUGAACGUAUGUGAUGUUUCUCUCCAAUAACAAGCAAAACAUCACUAGCAAUAUGAUGAAUGUCUCCUAAAUCACUUGAAGUAGUCCUAGCAAAUCAAUUAGAAAAAUCACACAUAUUGCUCUAAUGUAAUAUUAUAUACAUCUGUCAAUGAAUGGGAGAACUAAUGACACAACCAUCAUGUUGAUAUCUCGAACCCUCUAAUCUCAUAUGUAGGUGGGAUCACACUUAGAAACUCAUAACACAGUAAUGACCAAUCUAAGUCAAAAUGUGUUGGUGAUCGGAGGCCCAUGAAUAUGAAGUUCUAGGAUGAUAAUGACAUCUUAUAAAGUAAUGAUCAUCUCCUUAAUAGAUAGGUGAAAUGUGUGUGUCUUAGGACACCAUCUCUCAACAAGACUUGUGAUCAAUCCCCAGUCUAGUGUAACAUGCCUAUUAUGACAUCCAUCGUAAAAUCUAGACUAGAUAAUAUAAGGACAAAUGUGAGGGUUCAUCUCCCUUUCCCACAUAAAUUUAAAAAAUUAUUAUUGACAAGUUAAGACCAAACUAAGUUGCAAAAUAUAAAUAAGUCCAUUAGAUAACAAAUUUAUGUUUUCUCAUUUUCUCAUUUUUAAAGAGAUAUUAUGUGCUUCCAUGUACAUACAUGCUAAAGUCAAUUAUACGAGACUUAUAUCCAUCUUGUAGAACCAAAUCGAACCUAUCUAAUAGAUCCAGAUUAGAAGUAUGUCCUCUAUACUCCAUAUUUAUAACACAUUUAUAAAGAUAAAUGCUAAAAAAAUGUUAAAGAUAUAAAUUUAAUGAACCAUACUUUAUGAUUUUAAUUCUCAAUUAUUGUUCAUAUUUAUAAGAGAAAAGUUAAAAAAAUUGAUAGAGUUUUCCCUCUAUCAUGGACAUUAUCCCAAAUAAAAAUAAAUUGAUUAUGCAAAUUACAUUAAUAUUUGUAACCAAAUGAUCAAUAACUAUCUUGUAUCAAUUUAGUAAAUAAAUUUAAGUAUAUCUUUUCAUUUAUGACUAACAAAUAACUCAUACUUGUCCAAUAAAAGCCACACCUAAUUUCUAAAAUUUUGUCUUCACCUCAAGUGAGUGUUACAUUGAGAAAGAAAAAAUAUGAAAGAAAAAAUGAACACCUUUUUCUUUUAAUAAAAAAAGGCCAUAACGAAACAUUAAAUCUCACUGUUACACCUAUCUUCAAUGGAAACAUGAGGAUGUGAAUGGUGGCGGUGAUAUUCUUUGCUUGAAGCUCAUAAACAAAUAUUCCUUACUAAGCCUAUGCCAUUUAGUAUUUCAAUAGUGGACCCCCCCCCCCCCCCCCCCCCCCUCCUUGCAUUUCAGAUUUAGCAAACUUAGAACCAAAUAACAAAGUGCAUUUGAACCCAUAAAGAAGUAAUGAGACUCUCCUAUAUUGGCAAUAGAAGAAAUUUUUGGAGGUAUAGGAGAUUCACGGAUGAAGAAGUUGGGCCCCAAUUGAGAUAAGACCCAAGAAAAGAUGGGGUAGAGAGGGAUGGUUGGAAAUUGUAAAGUAAGAUUUUCAAAAUGUAGUUGAUGACUAAGAUUUUGACAAUUUAAAAAAGGUUUAAAAAUGUAGUUAGCAAUCGGGGUUUUGUAACAUUUAAAAAAUAAAAUAAAAUCUCAGGCCACAUGGUAGCCCAUGUGAUUCAGAAGCUUGAGAAUUAUUUUAUAAGAAGACUUAAUUUGUGAUUUUUUUAUAACUAUAUUAUUUUUUUUCUUAACACACGAAAAAAAUUAUGAAAUAAGACAAUUUUCCUAAGAAAGCAUGUAAGUGACUCUUGGUUAUUUUAUUUAACUUCUUCUAGUUUGGAGAGGAUUAAUACCUUUGCUUUUACUCACUUGCUUGGAUAUGUACACGUUGUUCAUGUCACUUUUCAUUUAAUUUUCUGAUUAAGGGAAUUGGAACCGUACGUAACUGUCUUUAUUCCCUCUGAAACUUGGACUUGGAGUUGGACUUUCAAUCUCAUCAGUCGUGUUUCCAUAAAAAAGAAGAUGGAUUAACCAAUUUUCCUAUGCCUACUAAUCAUACACAAAACUCCACUUCCAAAUAAAAAGGAAUGGGAUAUCACUUGUUAAUAGUGGCUAAAGACUAUUAAUAACCAUGCAAAGAAAUGUCACAUUUUUUGUUCUACGCAAAUUUUAUUCAUCAACUACUAGAACCAUUUCAUACAAUAGUAGCUUUUCGAUCCUUUGAUAAAUGGACACUUGAUGUGAUAACACCAACUACACCUAUAUAUUCAAGCAAUCAUGCGUAUAUAAUAGUGGAUAUGGAUUACUUCUCUAAAUGGGCAAAAGUUUUGUCAUUCAAGGAAAGUGAACGAGGAAACACAAGUUUACUUUCAUCGGAACUAAUAUUAUAUAUUGAUAUGACUUCCCAUUAUUACUUACGAUGGAAUAUGCUUCCAUAAAAUGGCCUAGAUGAACAAACUAUCCAAGAAGUUUGGGAUCAAAUAAUAUAUAUAUAGUUCAUGUGUGAUUCUUUGGUUGACAACCUUGUUAAGGGGUGAGUGAAGCACUUUGGGCAUACCACAUACUACAUGCUAGACUUCCACCCAAGCUACCCUAUAUUCCUUAUGAACAAAGUAGAAGUUGUCAUCUCUCUUGAAUACCAAAUCCUUUCACCUAAUAAUGCUAUCUAAAAAGGUCUUAAAAAGGAUAAAAAUGCGCAUAUUUGAAUUUUUGAAUUAGGAGUGCUACUUAAAAAGAAGCUAGAUAUACAAUAAUAGAAUGUUAUCAAGCAUAUCUCUUCAAAGUUUUUGACCAAAAAAUAUAUGAUUUCUCAUUUUAGGUAGGAGACUUAGUACUCACUAUUCAAAAACCAAUUAUCAUUACUCAUAAAAACUAAUAGAAAGUUUGGGCCAAAGUAGGAUGGACCUUAUAUUAUGCAACAAUUAUGCCUAUAAAAUUGUUGCAAAAGAGGUUUUAGAAUCAAAUCAAUGAAUGAAAAAUUAUUAAAGCAUUACUAUGCUUGAAGGCUAGUCAUUUUCCCUUAAAGUGCAAUAUUAAGUUGCAUAGUACUAUGUGGAUCCGCAUUUUUCACAUGCGUUCCCACUCAUUGUCGAGACUCACUUUUUAGAAGUGAAAAAUUAGUUUUAUUAAAGUCGAAGUUGCCACUGGGGAUUUGAACCCUAACAAAAGGUUCAAUUUAAGGAUAAAAAUAUCGAUAAUCACAUAUAUAUAUAUUGGUACUUUGAUUUUAUGAAUAUAUUGAAGAAAUAUGGACAAAUAUUUUGACACAAAAUAUGUACAAAAUAAAAAUUAUAUAAAAAGUAAAAAUAAAUAUUUUAAAAUUAUUUUUUUAAAUAUAUAUAUAUAUAAUUUGACAUAUUUGAUAAUAAUAUAUAAGGGUCUCCAAAAAGCCCGUGGCCCGCUUUAGGCCCGGUCCGACCCGACAGGCUAAAGCCCGGCCCAAGCCCGCCGGGCCCAAGCUCGGCCCGAGCCCGUUUAUGGGUGGGCCGGGCCGCGAGCCCGUAGGCCUGCUCCUUUAAAAAAAAACUACAAAAAUAAAAAGUAUUAAAAAAAAUAUUCAUUUCAAAAUUUUAUUCAUUGAAUGUAUAAUUACAUUUGAAAAUGUGGGAAAAGUUUACAUCACUACAAAAUAAAUACAUCCCAACUAGGUUGGCACCUAUUUAUUUGUCAAUCAUCUGUAUUUUUCAACCACAAAAAAUAAAAAUAAAAAUAUAAUAUACAUUUAGUCAUUAUUUUCUGGCGGUGAUGGCGAACUAUCAUGCAUCCAUGAAGAUCUUGAUAAUUUUAAAGAUUCCAUAUCGGUAAGCAUCUUUGUUUCUCGAAUGGAAUCAUACAUCCUUUUAUCUGCUAUUUCCCAAUCUUUCACACAUAUCCCUGCUUUAAUAACAUCUGACGCUAAGUUGCAUCGUUUUUUACUAACUACUCUUCCACCUGCACUAAAAGCAGCUUCUGAUGCAACUGUACUCACAGGAACUGUUAGUACAUCACGAGCAAUUAUAGAAAGCACAGGAUAUUUGUGUUGAUGUGAUUUCCACCAUAUUAAAAUAUUAAAAUCUUCUUGAUCUUCAAAUGAAAUUAUAUCAGUAUUAAGAUAUUUAUCUAAAUCAGAUGUAUUAUUUGGAGAAUUAUUUGUUGUCUUUUUUCGACUUUUCAACAUUUCUAGAGCUCCUUUAUAAAAAGAUGAGGAGUUUGUAGAUGUAGGUGGUAAUUUAAUAGUAUUAAUAUCAUUACCAUAUUUUUCUUUAUAAUAGUUAUAUAAAUUAUAUAAUAAUGAAUUUAUUUCAUUUUUAAUUUCUUCAAUUUUUAUUUGGUCAUUAAAAUAAAUAAUUGUUAACCAUUCAUCCAAAGCUUCAAAUUUCAAUCUAGGGUCCACAAUUAAAGCAAUAUAAAAAAUUAAAGGUAUUUCUCCCCAAUAUUUUCUAAAUUUUUAUAUCAUUACAAAUAUUGUAUCAUUAAAUAUUUCAAAACUUAAAUAUUUUUGAAGUACAAUAAAAAUAUUAGUUAUUUGCGUAAUAACUCGAUUUGAAGUUGGAUAAUAUACACCACAAAAAAUGUUUGUUGAAGUAUCAAAAAUUUCAAAAAGAUCUCUUAAAACAUCCGCAAUAUGCCAAUCAUAAUCAUUUAAUGCAUAAAUAUCUGCUUCAUAAUCAUUGUUAAUUAAUUGUAUUUCAUAUAAUUCGACUACUUUUCUAUAUUUUGUAAUAUUUUCUAAAAGUUUAUAUGUGGAAUUCCAUCUAAUAGCCAUAUCCAAAUUUAUAUUUUUUCUUUUCAUAUUUAACAUUUUGCAACAAUCAAAAAAUAAUUCAUGUUUUGCUUGAAAACUAUUAAUACUAUAUGCAAUGCCUCUAAUUUUUUUCCAAUGUACUAUCAACAUUUUUUAAUCCAUCCUUUACAAUUAAAUUUAAAAUAUGUGCACAACAACGCACAUGAAAUAUUUUAGCAUGAUCUUCUUUUACUUGCCAAUAUCGUUUUAGUCUAUGUAUUGCUGCAUCAUUAUUAGCAGCAUUAUCUAAUGUUAUUGUCAAUAUUUUAUCACGAAUGCCUAAAUCUAUAAUUUCAUCAUUUAUUAAAGAUGCUAUAUUUUUACCACUAUGUGGAGUAUUUAUUAAUUUAAAUAAAAUUAUUCUUUUAUUUAAUUUCCAUUCAUUAUCAAUGUAGUGAACAAUUAUAUAUAAAAAACCAGUAUGAGUUAAAGAUGUCCAAAUGUCAGAUGUUAAACGAAUAUUUCCUUCAAAAUUUGCAAAAUUUUUUUUUAAAAUUUCUUUUUGUGUAUAAAUUUUUUUCAUAAUAUCUCUUUUAACUGUAUUUCCAGAUCAACCUUUAAAUUGAGGAUUAAUACCUCGUUGAAUUGUUCUUGCAAAAUCAUGAGUUUCCAUCAUGUUGAAAGGUUGUUCUGCUCUUAUUAUAUAAUCAAUCAUUUCUUCACAACAGUUAGAUUCAUCAUAAGAAAAUGUUUUUAAAUUUCCACUUUCAUUUUUACUUAAUUGCAUAUAAUUUCUAAUAUCUACAUUAUUUUUAGUUUUACAAUUUUCAUGAUGUCUUUUUAAAUGACUUGUAUCUGCAUUUGAGCCACCAGUAAGAAAUUUAUUACAAAUUUUACAUUUUGCUUUUAUUUUUUUUUUAUUAUUUUCUAAAAUUAUUUCUAUUCUAUCAAAAAAAUUCCAUAUAUUUAAAGUAAAUUUUUUGUUUGAUGAUAUUUCAUCACAUGGACUAGACGAAGAAGCACUUGUCAUAUUAUAAUUAUUGAUAAAAUAUUAUGCCAAAAAUAAUAAAGUAAUAAAUAUAAAAAAAAAUGUAACAAAAAAAAUAAAGUAGUAGGGGUGAAGUAUGUUACUCAAUUAGAGAACCUAUGCAGAAAUUCCUAGCAAAUUUGAACUCUUGGAGCCACCAAUGCUUGUUUUGCACCAUCAACAAUAUUGUAUAAUUUGAGGGAAAAAUAAAAGAAUUUAAAAUAUUGUAGAAUGUGAGAGAAAUAGAGAGAAUUUGAUGAAAAAAUGAAAAGGAAGAAAAUGUAUUUAUAGGAAGGUUAAAAAUAAUAAUAAUAAUAAUAAUAAUAAUAAUAAUAAUAAUAAUAAUAAUAAUAAUAAUAAUAAUUGGCCAUGUGACCGUUGGAGGCUUAGCUCCAACGGUCACAUGGGCUGGAGCUAGGCUCCAACAGUCACAUGACCGUUGGAGCCUUUAAUUUUUUUUUUUAAAAUAAUAUACUUUAUUUUUAUAUAUAUAUAACUAACUCAAUUAAUAAACAUAAAAAGAAUAUAGUUCAGUUGGUUAGAACCUUGAAGUUUAAACAUGAGGGGAGGGGUUUGAAUCCCUCCCUCUCCCUUAGGGGCUUUUUUAAAAGCCAUUUUGGCUUAUUUCAAAAAGCCUGUCGGCCCGACCCGCCCUGCAGCCCGCGGGCCUAGCAUUUUAGCAUGGCCUGGUCUGUUGACUAGUCAAAUGGCUCAUAGGCUCGGCCCGAACUGGGCCGCGGGCCUCUUAUUUACGGACCGGCCCGACCCGGCCCGCCCGUUGGAGACCCUUGAUAAUAUCUUCUAUAUUAAGUUACAUUAUAGUUUAUUUUACAAUAUUAUUAUGAUAAUAUGUCUAAUUUUAAAAUAUAUUUAAUAUUAAAAUUAUGAUCUAUUUUAAUUUAAAUGUAUUCAAUGAUAUCAAAUAAAUAAUAAUAUAUGUAUAAUUCUUUUAUUAUUUAUAUUUAUUAUUUUUAAUAAAUAUAUAGAUUAUAUAAAAAAGACCGGAUAUAUCUUUUCAAAUUUUGUAUCGCUCUCCAAGGAUAUUAGAUGUAUGGGAAUUUGUAUUGCUAUCUACGGAUACGUUGAUAUAUGGGUGAUUUAUCAGGAUAAUUAGAAAUUCUAAUUAUGUAAGCAGGUACGGAGUUCUGUGUCGGUGCGAUCUUGUCGACAACAGCUCCAAAUUGUGCAUCUUGCUCAUAGAGAGUAGCGGAAUGCACCAAUCGUAGGCUCAGAGUACCACUGAGUCGUCUGGCAGAGACCCAACUGAAGGUGCCUGUGUUGUUCCUGAUCUGAUCAGGCUUCAAACUACAAGGUGGAAUACUGGUUCCCCUAUAUCAGAAGCUGGAGAUACCCACCCCAUAUGCUCGUCUGGAUGUGCUCCUACCCUUUGAAGCCUUCUUCCGAGUCAAGUCCGAAUUGAUAAGGCUAGUGAGUUCCCAACCAACUGUACUCAGCAUGCUGCCAGGUGGAGACCCUCCAUAUUUGAUGGCUUCCUAAUAUUAAAAUGCUGACCACUGGUCUUCAUGUUCCACAGGCUUAAUUGUGUCCUUUGCUGAAAGAAUGGAUAGUGAUCCAUUUUAACACAUGAUUCACGCCGUCUUUGCCAUUCUUCAUGGUCUAGCCCUUUUAUAUAUAUGCUUCCUGAACUGUUGCUAUUAAUAAAAUGUGGUAUCUAUCCCGUACACCUUCCUGAUGGCCAGCGAAUGCAGAAGCUACAGAAACGGUUCCAUCUUUUGCUUCCGCCACUUUGGCAUCCUCCAUGAUGAGAUCGAAGGUGAAUAAUCAUAUUCUGGGGAUUUAUGUCCUGGAUAUUCUCAGUAAUGCCCAAUUUCCUGGUGCCGGCCUCAUUUCCAUGGGAACUGAUGGAUAACUUAAGGCUUCUACCAUCUGCGUGGUUCGCUUCUAACACAGGAAACUUCACGGCUAAAAGCAAGAUACCAAGAACAUCAAGGCUGUGACAAAAAUUAGUAUUUUUAACUUGUAGGAAUUUGAAAGGCAACCAACCAUCUAGCUCUGUUCUUAAAGCUCCCAUAGGAGGAUCAGAGGCUGGAUUGCUCAAGAUGAACUCAUCCAUUGUUGCACUUAAAAAGAAUUGGCAUGAAUUGUGGCCGCUCUAAUAGGUUCCCUAAACCAUCAUCCAAGUGGGCUUGCGGAAGGUAGCGAGUUUAAAACACCUAGGGCGAUGAACAGUGGACUGUGAUGCUCACAAAAGAGAAAAGGAAGAAUUCAAUAAUUCCUAAGAAUCCAUUUGCCUGUCAUCCAAAUUUUUAUAUUCUCUUCAGUCUGACGCGUUAUGCCAUAUAUUAAAAAUAGCGGCUUCUUCCAAGCCGAGACAGACUGUGCAAAGUUCGCAAGGCCAAUCAUCACCAUAAUCUGAAGUUGGCCUCCUCAAUCGCAGCUUGUAUCCGAAUGCUCACUUCACGGGAUGGAUUGUAAUGAAAACUAAUCUCAGUCCCAGCUAUGGCAGCAUCCUCACUUGACAGCAUUUUCUGCAUAUUCUAGAACAAAGCAAUAAACCCUCAAAGGCUCCUUCGGAUCAGAGUUAGAAGACUGUCCCUCAGGAACGUGAACACUAUGGUGGUUCUGAUAAGCAGUGAUAUUGCAUUAGAGCCUUUUGGAACAAGAGGAUCUUUUCAGGUGGAAACUGUAAACUGCUUCAUGUUGGGCUGCAACCUUUUCUUCAAGCAAUACUUUCUUUCUGUAUCACGACUUAUGUUGCUUCCGGAGCCAUCCCGUGUGGACUGCCCUUCAGUGAAAGAAUAUGUGUGUUGACAUGUUGGAUUGUAAUCUUUGUUCCACUCUAAUGGCUUUUGGUCCUCCUCUUUCUCUUUAUGACAGAGAACCAUUUAGUGAUCCAUCUCUAUAUUGUAGCAUUGCUGGUGCUUUGCAAUACUACACUCUCACCAAGCAUAACAUCUAUUUUUCCGUGACCAAAGUAUGUCGGUUUAUGCAUGCGCAAACUCUUAUUCAUUGGCAAGUUGUCAAGCGUAUCUCAUGAUUUCCCAAAGCCACAAGUUCUUAUGGUCUUUCUGUUCAAGCUUACAAUGAUCUAUCUUUUCUUGGUUAUACUGAUGUCGAUUGGGCUAGUUGCCCUGAUAACAAGCACAAUACUAGUGGGUACAACACUUUUCCUGGUCCUAAUCUCAUUUCAUGGGCAUUUUCAAAGCAGAAGGUUGUGUCUCACUCCAAUAACGAAUCUGAAUAUAGGGGACUCACUAAUUAAUGUUGUUGCCAAGGUCACUUGGAUUGAAUCUGUCUUACGUGAGUUGCGUGUUUCUCUACCCCAACCACCAAUUUUGUUGUGUGACAACAUUAGUGCUACACACUUGGACAAACCAUGUUGAAAUACACUAUCAUUUUAUCCAUGAAAGGCUUAUGCAUCACACACUCAAAAUUCAAUACACCUCUUCUAUAGACCAACUAGUCAAUGCUAUGACCAAAGCUCUUCCUUCAUCUCACUUGUACAAUCUUCAGUGCAAGCUGAUUGUUCUUCCCAAACCACUCAACUUGAGGGGAGAUGUUAAGCCA
rnacentral:lncRNA from 1 species